AGGAGGAGGCAAGGGCAGGACGGCAGCGGUACGAGGCCCAGCGGGCAAGGCGCAGCAUCGAGCAGGUCCCCGCCGACGGAGCCGUUC
rnacentral:snRNA from 11 species